rnacentral:miRNA from 1 species
AAAGUGCUGCGACAUUUGAGUGU